rnacentral:rRNA from 1 species
UGACCUCAAAUCAGGUAAGAAUACCCGCUGAA